AACGAACGCUGGCGGCAGGCCUAACACAUGCAAGUCGAACGCUGUAGCAAUACAGAGUGGCAGACGGGUGAGUAACGCGUGGGAACCUUCCCAGUGGUGCGGAAUAGCUCAGGGAAACUUGAGGUAAUACCGCAUAAGCCCCUAGGGGGAAAGAUUUAUCGCCAUUGGAUGGGCCCGCGUCGGAUUAGCUAGUUGGUGAGGUAAUGGCUCACCAAGGCAACGAUCCGUAGCUGGUUUGAGAGAAUGACCAGCCACACUGGGACUGAGACACGGCCCAGACUCCUACGGGAGGCAGCAGUGGGGAAUCUUGGACAAUGGGCGCAAGCCUGAUCCAGCCAUGCCGCGUGAGUGACGAAGGCCUUAGGGUUGUAAAGCUCUUUUGCCGGGGACGAUAAUGACGGUACCCGGAGAAUAAGUCCCGGCUAACUUCGUGCCAGCCGCCGCAGUAACAC
rnacentral:rRNA from 1 species